GGGAAGGUAGCUCAGUGGUAGAGUGCUUGCCUUGCAUGCAUGAGGCCCUGGGUUUGAGUCCUUAGCACCA
rfam:Dipodomys ordii contig_4560, whole genome shotgun sequence.